rnacentral:rRNA from 1 species
GAUGAACGCUGGCGGCGUGCCUAAUACAUGCAAGUCGAACGGACAGACGAGGUGCUUGCUCCUCUGACGUUAGCGGCGGACGGGACAGUAAAACGUGGAUACCCUACCUAUAAGACUGGGAUAACUUCGGGAAACCGGAACUAAUACCGGAUAAUAUAUUGAACCGCAUGGUUCGAUAGUUCAAGACGGUUUUGCUGUCACUUCUAGCUGGAUCCGGGCCGCAUUAGCUAUUUGGUACGGUAACGGCUUCCCAUGGCCGCGAUGGGUAGCCGACCCGAGAGGGGGAUCGGCGACACUGGAAGUGAGACGCGGUCAAGAGGCCUAAGGGAGGCAGCAGUAGCGAAGGGGCGGCAAUGGGGGAAAGACUGACGGAGCAACGCAGGGCGGAUGAAGAAGGGCUGCGGAUCGGAAAACUGUGUUAUGAGUGAAGAACAAAUUUGUAAGGAACGAAGCACGUCGUGACGGUACCUACACAGAAAGCAACGGCUAACUACGUG